AAGGGCGCACGGUGGAUGCCUUGGCACUAGAAGCCGAUGAAGGACGUUACUAACGACGAUAUGCUUUGGGGAGCUGUAAGUAAGCUUUGAUCCAGAGAUUUCCGAAUGGGGAAACCCAGCAUGAGUUAUGUCAUGUUAUCGAUAUGUGAAUACAUAGCAUAUCAGAAGGCACACCCGGAGAACUGAAACAUCUUAGUACCCGGAGGAAGAGAAAGAAAAUUCGAUUCCCUUAGUAGCGGCGAGCGAAACGGGAAGAGCCCAAACCAACAAGCUUGCUUGUUGGGGUUGUAGGACACUCUAUACGGAGUUACAAAGGACGACAUUAGACGAAUCAUCUGGAAAGAUGAAUCAAAGAAGGUAAUAAUCCUGUAGUCGAAAAUGUUGUCUCUCUUGAGUGGAUCCUGAGUACGACGGAGCACGUGAAAUUCCGUCGGAAUCUGGGAGGACCAUCUCCUAAGGCUAAAUACUCUCUAGUGACCGAUAGUGAACCAGUACCGUGAGGGAAAGGUGAAAAGCACCCCGGAAGGGGAGUGAAAUAGAACCUGAAACCGUGUGCUUACAAGUAGUCAGAGCCCGUUAAUGGGUGAUGGCGUGCCUUUUGUAGAAUGAACCGGCGAGUUACGAUUUGAUGCAAGGUUAAGCAGUAAAUGUGGAGCCGUAGCGAAAGCGAGUCUGAAUAGGGCGUUUAGUAUUUGGUCGUAGACCCGAAACCAGGUGAUCUACCCUUGGUCAGGUUGAAGUUCAGGUAACACUGAAUGGAGGACCGAACCGACUUACGUUGAAAAGUGAGCGGAUGAACUGAGGGUAGCGGAGAAAUUCCAAUCGAACCUGGAGAUAGCUGGUUCUCUCCGAAAUAGCUUUAGGGCUAGCCUCAAGUGAUGAUUAUUGGAGGUAGAGCACUGUUUGGACGAGGGGCCCCUCUCGGGUUACCGAAUUCAGACAAACUCCGAAUGCCAAUUAAUUUAACUUGGGAGUCAGAACAUGGGUGAUAAGGUCCGUGUUCGAAAGGGAAACAGCCCAGACCACCAGCUAAGGUCCCAAAAUAUAUGUUAAGUGGAAAAGGAUGUGGCGUUGCCCAGACAACUAGGAUGUUGGCUUAGAAGCAGCCAUCAUUUAAAGAGUGCGUAAUAGCUCACUAGUCGAGUGACACUGCGCCGAAAAUGUACCGGGGCUAAACAUAUUACCGAAGCUGUGGAUUGUCCUUUGGACAAUGGUAGGAGAGCGUUCUAAGGGCGUUGAAGCAUGAUCGUAAGGACAUGUGGAGCGCUUAGAAGUGAGAAUGCCGGUGUGAGUAGCGAAAGACGGGUGAGAAUCCCGUCCACCGAUUGACUAAGGUUUCCAGAGGAAGGCUCGUCCGCUCUGGGUUAGUCGGGUCCUAAGCUGAGGCCGACAGGCGUAGGCGAUGGAUAACAGGUUGAUAUUCCUGUACCACCUAUAAUCGUUUUAAUCGAUGGGGGGACGCAGUAGGAUAGGCGAAGCGUGCGAUUGGAUUGCACGUCUAAGCAGUAAGGCUGAGUAUUAGGCAAAUCCGGUACUCGUUAAGGCUGAGCUGUGAUGGGGAGAAGACAUUGAGUCUUCGAGUCGUUGAUUUCACACUGCCGAGAAAAGCCUCUAGAUAGAAAAUAGGUGCCCGUACCGCAAACCGACACAGGUAGUCAAGAUGAGAAUUCUAAGGUGAGCGAGCGAACUCUCGUUAAGGAACUCGGCAAAAUGACCCCGUAACUUCGGGAGAAGGGGUGCUCUUUAGGGUUAACGCCCAGAAGAGCCGCAGUGAAUAGGCCCAAGCGACUGUUUAUCAAAAACACAGGUCUCUGCUAAACCGUAAGGUGAUGUAUAGGGGCUGACGCCUGCCCGGUGCUGGAAGGUUAAGAGGAGUGGUUAGCUUCUGCGAAGCUACGAAUCGAAGCCCCAGUAAACGGCGGCCGUAACUAUAACGGUCCUAAGGUAGCGAAAUUCCUUGUCGGGUAAGUUCCGACCCGCACGAAAGGCGUAACGAUUUGGGCACUGUCUCAACGAGAGACUCGGUGAAAUCAUAGUACCUGUGAAGAUGCAGGUUACCCGCGACAGGACGGAAAGACCCCGUGGAGCUUUACUGUAGCCUGAUAUUGAAAUUCGGCACAGCUUGUACAGGAUAGGUAGGAGCCUUUGAAACGUGAGCGCUAGCUUACGUGGAGGCGCUGGUGGGAUACUACCCUAGCUGUGUUGGCUUUCUAACCCGCACCACUUAUCGUGGUGGGAGACAGUGUCAGGCGGGCAGUUUGACUGGGGCGGUCGCCUCCUAAAAGGUAACGGAGGCGCUCAAAGGUUCCCUCAGAAUGGUUGGAAAUCAUUCAUAGAGUGUAAAGGCAUAAGGGAGCUUGACUGCGAGACCUACAAGUCGAGCAGGGUCGAAAGACGGACUUAGUGAUCCGGUGGUUCCGCAUGGAAGGGCCAUCGCUCAACGGAUAAAAGCUACCCCGGGGAUAACAGGCUUAUCUCCCCCAAGAGUUCACAUCGACGGGGAGGUUUGGCACCUCGAUGUCGGCUCAUCGCAUCCUGGGGCUGUAGUCGGUCCCAAGGGUUGGGCUGUUCGCCCAUUAAAGCGGUACGCGAGCUGGGUUCAGAACGUCGUGAGACAGUUCGGUCCCUAUCCGUCGUGGGCGUAGGAAAUUUGAGAGGAGCUGUCCUUAGUACGAGAGGACCGGGAUGGACAUACCUCUGGUGUACCAGUUGUCGUGCCAACGGCAUAGCUGGGUAGCUAUGUGUGGACGGGAUAAGUGCUGAAAGCAUCUAAGCAUGAAGCCCCCCUCAAGAUGAGAUUUCCCAACUUCGGUUAUAAGAUCCCUCAAAGAUGAUGAGGUUAAUAGGUUCGAGGUGGAAGCAUGGUGACAUGUGGAGCUGACGAAUACUAAUCGAUCGAAGACUUAAUCAA
rnacentral:rRNA from 1 species